CCUACGGGAGGCAGCAGUAGGGAAUUUUCCACAAUGGGCGCAAGCCUGAUGGAGCAACACCGCGUGAGUGAAGAAGGGUUUCGGCUCGUAAAGCUCUGUUGUUGGAGAAGAACGUUCGUGAGAGUAACUGUUCCCGCAGUGCCGGUAUCCACCCAGACAGUCCCGACUAACUACGUGCCAGCAGCCGCGGUAAUACGUAGGUGGCAAGCGUUAUCCGGAUUUAUUGGGCGUAAAGCGAGCGCAGGCGGUUGCUUAGGUCUGAGGUGAAAGCCUGCGGUUAACCGAAGAAGUGAAUCGGAAACCGGGCGACUUGAGUGCAGAAGAGGACAGUGGAACGCCAUGUGUAGCGGUGGAAUGCGUAGAUAUAGGGAAGAACACCAGUGGCGAAGGCGGCUGGCUGGGCUGCAACUGACGCUGAGGCUCGAAAGCAUGGGUAGCGAACAGGAUUAGAUACCCUUGUAGUC
rnacentral:rRNA from 1 species